UACGGAGGGGGCUAGCGUUGUUCGGAAUUACUGGGCGUAAAGCGUCCGUAGGCGGCGAUUCAAGUCAGAGGUGAAAGCCCACGGCUCAACCGUGGAACUGCCUUUGAAACUAGGUCGCUUGAAGAUGGGAGAGGUUAGUGGAAUUCCGAGUGUAGAGGUGAAAUUCGUAGAUAUUCGGAAGAACACCAGCGGCGAAGGCGGCUAACUGGACCAUUCUUGACGCUGAGGGACGAAAGCGUGGGGAGCAAACAGG
rnacentral:rRNA from 1 species